rnacentral:lncRNA from 1 species
UGCCUCACCUACCUCUACCUGCCCGAUUUUGUCUCUCCAUGUGAGUGUGAGGACGAAGUGCGUGACCGCACACUCUGUUUUGACUCAUGUGUUGUGUGUGAUGAUUGAUGAUGAUUUAGUUGACGUCUGGGGAAGGGGACGGGCACGACGAGAUCGACAUCGAGUUCAUGGGCAACCUGAGCGGCGACCCGUACGUGAUGAACACCAACGUGUGGGCCAGCGGCGACGGCAAGAAGGAGCACCAGUUCUACCUCUGGUUCGACCCCACCGCCGACUUCCACACCUACAAGAUCGUCUGGAACCCCAAGAACAUCAUGUAUGUAUCCCAAAUUGCUCCUGAAAUUCCUGAUUUGAUUGUUGCAUCCUAACUAACGAAAUGGGUGCUGUGGAUUGAAUCAGAUUCCAGGUGGACGACGUGCCGGUGAGGACGUUCAAGAAGUACGACGACCUGCCGUACCCGAGCAGCAAGCCGAUGACGGUGCACUCGACUUUGUGGGACGGCAGCUACUGGGCCACGCGCCACGGCGACGUCAAGAUCGACUGGAGCCAGGCGCCCUUCGUCGUCAACUACCGGGAAUACUACGCCAACGCCUGCGCCAGCAACGGCGCCUGCCCCGCCGGCAGCGACGCCUGGAUGAGCAAGCAGCUCGACGCCAAGCAGCUCGGCACCGUCGCCUGGGCCGAGCGCAACUACAUGUCCUACGACUACUGCGACGACGGGUGGCGGUUCCCCAACGGAUUCCCCGCCGAGUGCUUCC